rnacentral:rRNA from 1 species
UCCGUAGGUGGCACUUCAAGUCUGCUUUCAAAGACCGAAGCUCAACUUCGGAAAGGGAGUGGAAACUGAAGAGCUAGAGUAUAGUAGGGGUAGAGGGAAUUCCUAGUGUAGCGGUGAAAUGCGUAGAGAUUAGGAAGAACACCAGUGGCGAAGGCGCUCUACUGGGCAUAUACUGACACUGAGGGACGAAAGCUAGGGUAGCGAAAG